GAGCUUCGUAUGCAGGCUGAAGCAUGACCGUAAGGACAUGUGGACAGUAUACGAGUGAGAAUGUUGGCAUGAGUAGCGAGACGUGGGUGAGAAUCCCACGGGCCGUAAACCCAAGGUUUCCAGGGGAAGGUUCGUCCGCCCUGGGUUAGUCGGGACCUAAGCCGAGGCCGAAAGGCGUAGGUGAUGGACAACAGGUUGAUAUUCCUGUACCGCCAAUAAGCGUUUGAGAGAUGGAGUGACACAGUAGGAUAAGCUAACCGUACUGUUGGUUAUGUACGGCUAAGCAUUGAGGCAGUCUAAAUAGGCAAAUCCGUUUAGACAAUGCUAGGAUGUGAUGGGGAAGCCCUCCGGGGCGAAGUAGCUGAUUUCACACUGUCAAGAAAAGCUUCUAUCGAGUUUAAAGGCGCCCGUACCGUAAACCGACACAGGUGGGUGAGGAGAGUAUCCUAAGGCCAGCGAGAGAACUAUUGUUAAGGAACUCGGCAAAAUGACCCCGUAACUUAGGGAGAAGGGGUGCCUGUCUAUGACAGGCCGCAGAGAAUAGGCCCAAGCGACUGUUUACCAAAAACACAGGUUUCUGCUAAGUCGCAAGACGAUGUAUAGGAGCUGACGCCUGCCCGGUGCUGGAAGGUU
rnacentral:rRNA from 1 species